rnacentral:misc_RNA from 1 species
GAAAUGCGAUAAGUAAUGUGAAUUGCAGAAUUCAGUGAAUCAUCGAAUCUUUGAACGCAAAUUGCGCCCGCCAGUAUUCUGGCGGGCAUGCCUGUUCGAGCGUCAUUACAACCCUCAGGCCCCCGGGCCUGGCGUUGGGGAUCGGCGGAAGCCCCCUGCGGGCACAACGCCGUCCCCCAAAUACAGUGGCGGUCCCGCCGCAGCUUCCAUUGCGUAGUAGCUAACACCUCGCAACUGGAGAGCGGCGCGGCCACGCCGUAAAACACCCAACUUCUGAAUGUUGACCUCGAAUCAGGUAGGAAUACCCGCUGAACUUAAGC